UGAGUAACACGUAUGCAAUCCACCUGUAACAGGGGGAUAACCCGGAGAAAUCCGGACUAAUACCCCAUAAUAUGGGCGCUCCGCAUGGAGAGCCCAUUAAAGAGAGCAAUUUUGGUUACAGACGAGCAUGCGCUCCAUUAGCCAGUUGGCGGGUAACGGCCCACCAAAGCGACGAUGGAUAGGGGUUCUGAGAGGAAGGUCCCCCACAUUGGAGCUGAGACACGGUCCAA
rnacentral:rRNA from 1 species